GUUAAUACUAUCUUUGUCGAUGAUGGCGAACGCUAUGGUGAGAAUGUUAUGGUUCCCAUCAAAUGAACUUUCCAUCAGCAGAUUUUCCAGUGCGAAAGUGUCGUCCACAACUAGCAUAGGUGGACAAUGCCGGAAACCGUGGAUGUAGAGUAGGAAGCUUCAGAAUACUAACUUGAAUUGCUUAAGUGCACCACCACCAAC
rnacentral:lncRNA from 1 species